UUUCCCAGAUGUGAGCCUCUGUGGUAAAGAACCAGGGACGCUACAGGCCUUCGGUGUGUUUGCUGUCACGCUUUUCUCUUAUUCUCCUAAAACCUGUUUAGUGCAGUCUGAAGUUCGUUAGCGUUCUUGUGACGGAAGGCACUCGCAGCCGGGGUGAGCGGGGGAGGCGCCCCUUGAGAGUGAGCGGUCGUGGCGGACGCAGUGUGCUGCGGGAUUGCUGGAAUCCUCAAGACCCAUGAAUGUCGGUCAUUCGGUUUGUUUUUGAUGGAAGUUCUCCUUUUCUCGAGGAAAAAGUCGUAUCCAAGUUUAAACACGAGCCUGAGGCUGAGGAAGAUGUUGCUGAAGAUGAAGGCAACAGAGUAAACUUCGGGGCUCCUCUGUCAUCUCGCGGCCAGGAGGGCUGGGCGCCGGGUCCCGGGACAGCAGGAGCAGACGUUGCACGAAGCACAGAUGUGCGGUUUCAUGAACGAUUGCGGGGAGGAUCCAAGUGUUGUUACCAGCAGCGUGGGACAGGACGAGAGAAAACACAGGCAUGGGAUUUGGAGUGGAAUACGUAGAACACGGGGCUCCGGGGGUGAAGCCGCUGCCUUCGGCUCGGGUCAUGGUCUCAAGGUCCUGGGAUUGA